GCCGAUUUAGCUUAAUGGGUGAAAGCGCCGCCUAGUAGCGGAGACGUAGGUUCGAAUCCUGCACUCGGCA
rnacentral:tRNA from 1 species